AGGGUGGAGUGGCAUUGGUACCAGUUGACUCGAGUCAGAUAUCCAGUGUCGGAGGCGAGUGGUGCUGGAGAGAAAUGCGGUGAGGGGACUAUGGCCUCACUGACACUGUCCUCGACCCUGACAGGAGGGGCCUUCCACGUUUGCCCCCCGGAAAUCAACCCCCAGAGGGUGCAGGAGAAGGAGCAGCAGCAGCAGCAGCCCCCAGGCCCCAAUACCGAGCCCCAUACCAGUGGCCGAUCACAGCCCCAUCCUCAGCAGCCGGGACACAGCUGGGAAGCUUGCGAUGCACCGGGCCAGCUCCUCCCACCUGACAGGAAGGGGAGCAUUGUAAGCUGAUUCCUGGAGUCCCCUGAAGCCCAAGAGAGAGAGGACGACCCCAUCUCAGCUCCCUGACAUCCCCCAGCACCUAUGAACCCAUUGGGGAGGGACAGUAGUUAUUUGUUGUAAAUAAUAAAUGCCAUGUUUGAAUAUUA